AAUGUGUCAAGUCAAAAGUCUGAGUGGACGGGGAGUGUGCAAGGCAGAGACCUCCUUCAAGGCUGGCACUGGGAAGCCUGUUGCCAACCAGUCAAGAUCACAGCCAAGUCGACAGCCACUUCACAAGGCUGAGGAGAGAAGUCAGAGCCAGAAGGCAACUUGGAUUUUAUAGGAAGAAAACUUUCGUGAGUUUCUCCUCUUUAAGGGUAUUUUUAUCCGUCAGUCCAGAUGGACCAAUAUGAUGGACCAAUCCAUAGCAUUUGGAUGAAAUUAUUCUCUUUCGAUCUUUGGAGUUCACAUCAUCACAAAUGCUCCAUUUCUAUUGAAAGCAAUUUUCUGUGAAGAUUUCUGAGAUGCUAAUGGAAAAGGUGCCACCAAAUAUGAAGACUUAUGAAUUCUGAUGUGAAUACCACAGAAACGCAAAUGAAUGGUAAAUGCCAAAGAAGUCUACAGCUGAUUUUUGAAGAUGUAUGUUAUACAAUAUACCCAAGAUGACAGAUAAUGCAUCAUGCAAAAUGAGAUAAAGACUGCUUCUUCAACUA